rnacentral:lncRNA from 1 species
AUGUUCAAAGAUAACCCUGGAUUUAUCUUUAAAGCAUUCAACAUCCAACCCCCCUCUUCUGUUUUCCCUUUGCUUAGCACCCAGCUCUCUGUGUUGAGUGUGAUGGGUGACCUUAUUAAAGAAAGACAUCAUCAGAAAAAGUUUCCUGACAGCGUCCAUGUUCUUAUGUUUUGGAGGUAAGGGAUUUUUUACCAACUAAAAUACCAUAAAAGUUUUGUAUUCAUACUACUAUAACAUGAUGUUUGCAACUUAAAGGGGUGGCCUUUCAAUGAGUCUCCGGCAUAUGAGUUUUUAUGUAUUAAGGUCUGUAAAGGGGACACCACUUGAGAAGAUUUACAGUGUUUCAGGACUGUGUGCCAGAUGGUAAAAGCCAUAUGAGUUGCGAAGUCCUUAGAGAUUUUUUUUUAGUUUGUUUUUGUUUAUCAUAGAGAAUAUGCUUCUGGGUUCAUAAAGUUUCAGCAUGUUCUGUCUACUGCGUCAUGGAGAAAAAUAUUAACUCUAUCCUGAAUCCAGGCCACCAGGAGCUAUAAAAAUAGUAUUUAAAAGAGGAGGUAGGCAGGCUAUUUCCUGGGAGAAAAAAAUAGUUGUUUUAAAAUACAUUCUUGCUAUGUUGAUGCUAAAAUUAAUAGGUUGUUAUUAUUGUUAUUCUCUGAAAUGAUCUAUUCAGAAAACAAAGCAAGUUUCUUUGAAACAAUUAUAUUUAAACACUCUG